UACGAAGGUGGCAAGCGUUACUCGGAAUUACUAGGCGUAAAGGGCAGGUAGGUGGUUCGAUAAGUCUGUUGUGAAAGCUCCCGGCUCAACUGGGAGAGGCCAACAGAAACUAUCGGACUUGAGUAUGGGAGAGGUUACUGGAAUUCCCGGUGUAGCGGUGAAAUGCGCAGAGAUCGGGAGGAACACCAAUGGCGAAAGCAGGUAACUGGACCAUUACUGACACUCAACUGCGAAAGCUAGGGGAGCAAACAGG
rnacentral:rRNA from 1 species